rnacentral:rRNA from 1 species
GACGAACGCUGGCGGCGUGCUUAACACAUGCAAGUCGAACGGUGAUGCUCCAGCUUGCUGGCGUGGAUCAGUGGCGAACGGGUGAGUAACACGUGAGCAACCUGCCCCAGACUCUGGAAUAAGCGCUGGAAACGGCGUCUAAUACUGGAUACGAAACUGGCCCGCAUGGGCAUGGUUUGGAAAGUUUUUCGGUUUGGGAUGGGCUCGCGGCCUAUCAGCUUGUUGGUGAGGUAAUGGCUCACCAAGGCGACGACGGGUAGCCGGCCUGAGAGGGCGUCCGGCCACACUGGGACUGAGACACGGCCCAGACUCCUACGGGAGGCAGCAGUGGGGAAUAUUGCACAAUGGGCGAAAGCCUGAUGCAGCGACGCCGCGUGAGGGAUGACGGCCUUCGGGUUGUAAACCUCUUUCAGCAGGGAAGAAGCGAAAGUGACGGUACCUGCAGAAGAAGCACCGGCUAACUACGUG